AUUCCAGCUCCAAUAGCGUAUAUUAAAGUCGUUGCAGUUAAAAAGCUCGUAGUUGAACUUCAGAUCCGGCUGGGCGGUCUGCCUAACGGUGUGUACUGUCCGGCUGGGUCUUACCUCUUGGUGAGCCGGCAUGCCCUUUAUUGGGUGUGUCGGGGAACCAGGACUUUUACCUUGAGAAAAUUAGAGUGUUCAAAGCAGGCCUAUGCCCGAAUACAUUAGCAUGGAAUAAUAAAAUAGGAUGUGCGGUUCUAUUUUGUUGGUUUCUAGAGUCGCCGUAAUGAUUAAUAGGGAUAGUUGGGGGCAUUAGUAUUCAGUUGCUAGAGGUGAAAUUCUUGGAUUUACUGAAGACUAACUAUUGCGAAAGCAUUUGCCAAGGAUGUUUUCAUUA
rnacentral:rRNA from 1 species